rnacentral:rRNA from 1 species
AUCGAACGCUGGCGGCAUGCUUUACACAUGCAAGUCGAACGGCAGCACGGGCUUCGGCCUGGUGGCUAGUGGCGCACGGGUGAGUAAUAUAUCGGAACGUACCCAGCAGUGGGGGAGAACGUCGCGAAAGUUCCGCUAAUACCGCAUACGAUCUAUGGAUGCAAGCUGGGGACCGCAGGGCCUUGUGCUCCUGGAGCGGCCGAUAUCUGAGUAGCUAGUUGGUGAGGUAAAGGCUCACCAAGGCGACGAUCAGUAGGUGGUCUGAGGGGACGACCAGCCACACUGGAACUGGGACACGGUCCAGACUCCUACGGGAGGCAGCAGUGGGGAAUUUUGGACAAUAGGCGCAAGCCUGAUCCAGCAAUGCCGCGUGAGUGAAGAAGGCCUUGGGGUUGUAAAGCUCUUUUGUCAGGGAAGAAACGGUAGAGGCUAAUAUCCUGUGCUAAUGACGGUACCUGAAGAAUAAGCACCGGCUAACUACGUG